GACGAACGCUGGCGGCGUGCCUAAUACAUGCAAGUAGAACGCUGAAGGAGGAGCUUGCUUCUCUGGAUGAGUUGCGAACGGGUGAGUAACGAGUAGGUAACCUGCCUGGUAGCGGGGGAUAACUAUUGGAAACGAUAGCUAAUAACGCAUAAGAAUAGAUGUUGCAUGACAUUUACUUAAAAGGUGCAAUUGCAUCAAUACCAGAUGGACCUGCGUUGUAUUAGCUAGUUGGUGGGGUAACGGCUCACCAAGGCGAUGAUACAUAGCCGACCUGAGAGGGUGAUCGGCCACACUGGGACUGAGACACGGCCCAGACUCCUACGGGAGGCAGCAGUAGGGAAUCUUCCGCAAUGGACGGAAGUCUGACCGAGCAACGCCGCGUGAGUGAAGACGGUCUUCGGGUCGUAAAGCUCUGUUGUUCGAGAAGAACGAGUGUGAGAGUGAAAAGUUCACACUGUGACGGUAUCUUACUAGAAAGGCACGGCUAACUACGUG
rnacentral:rRNA from 1 species